rfam:Alligator mississippiensis ScZkoYb_172, whole genome shotgun sequence.
GUAGCCUAAUUGGUAGGGCACUCACCUAGAAAGUGAGAGACCUGGGUUCUACACCUUCCCCAGC